GUUCCUAUGAAAUAUUUAUUUAGCAGUUAGAUAUCUGUUUAUGAAGCAGAUGCAUAUGUUCAUUUUCCUCCUCUAAUUCUAUAGACUGAAAAGUUUAUGUAUUCUCAGAAAGUUUCUGUAACAUUACAAGAGGACAUUAUGCAUUCAUGGUUCUCAUGGUUUUCUAUGUUUCCAAUAUGUCCCUUAUUCUCCCUUUUGAACUGAUUAAACCCCAAGAGAAUGAAGGAGGGUACAAGAAAGAAAUUGUUUACUCACACUUCCUUUUGUAUAUUUUUCACUCGGUACAAAAAUCUUACUAAUUUACAGAGUCCGUAUUUUUCAUCAGAAUUUCCUCAACAAACUUCUGAAACGAACAAAACACCAGGUUUUUAUUAGUGUUUUGUAUCUUCUCCAGCCAUUGAAAUACUUCCCAAUCACCUUUUUAUAACUAGGCCUCUGCUGCACCAUAAUCCAGUACUCAGCUAUAUUUGGCCUGCUACUUAUAUACUCAUCUUCCAAAUUCAACAGUACUAAGCGAGCCAGUACUGGGAUCAGCAUUGCGUCUGCCAUUGAGAACUCUUCCCCACCUAAAUAUGAUGUUUCACUCAACUUGGUUUCAACCUCCUCAAGAAGUCUAAUAAGAUGCUCUUUGCUUCGUUUCAGAACUUCUGGAUUUUUCAACUUGUCUUCAGUUUCAUAAGCUUCUUUUAGUUUACGGUGGUAAGCACUUGCUAGAUCAGGGGAUUCAGCCAUUCGAGCAAUCACCACACGCCUUAUGAAUUUGGAAACAGCAAGGCGGUAUUUCUCUGGGAUGUGAGAAAGUGUGAAAAACUUGGGGUUCCACUCUUGUAUCUUCUGCAUCCAUUCAACAACUUCUCUGUUACUAAAGGAAUUCUCAUCAGCACCUGCUGAGACAACUGCAAUUCUUUCAAUGUACCUGCAAAUUACUUUAUCACUUCAGUUCAAAGUCUUUCCUUUCUCUCUAGACCAGGUGUAUUUGGAAAAAAACAUUUUCUAUAACAGGUGGCCAUUUUAACUCUGAUGAAACAUAGAAGGGAAUGAACAUAGAGACAAUGUGUAAAUGGCUCCAAAAGAGUGAAUUUCUAAAAACCAUGUUUGAAUGUUCAAGGAGAAUAAAUAGAGGAAGAUUAGAUGGUCCUCAUGGAUCGAUCAAAUAUGAAAUUUCUUCCAAACACAACUCAGAUUUUAUGCAACAGAAACAGAAUGGCAAGAGUGAAGGAUAAGGCAUACUGGAUCAUCUCAAUGGUGUCAAAAAUGAUGUGGGCGCCAUUCUGGAAAACAGGGAGCUUUCCACUUGGAUUUUUCGUGAAGUAUGAGGAAUCCAUAUUCUUUCCUGUUAUAGGAUUGACAUGGUGCGAUGUGUAGUCUAUGCCCUUCUCUUCCAAAGCAAGUCUCACCUUCUGACUAUCCAGAGAGUAUGGAUGGUGAUAGAACUGCAUGAUUCAAUUAGCACUAGCUCAAAGGCUGUUACUAGUCGUCCGAAAAAUUGGGAAGCUUUUACGUCGUUGAACACAAUAAUAUGUGAAGAACUGCAACCAAAUCAUGACAGACAUGCGAGUCAGCAUCCUUCAUUAUCUCUCAAGAAAUUACCAAUAGCCAAUAUAUAAAGAAUAACUCAAAAGUAGAUAUUCAGUAAAAGCUAUAAAUGAAGCCAUGAGUGGCAGUACUAACAAAAUGCAGAAGUACUCAGGAUGUUAUAACCCUUGUGACAACAAAGAGCUCUGCCUACAGAAAAAUGAAAUUUUACUAGCUGUAGAUAAUUGUUCAUGAUAGUUUACAAAGAAAAAAUAAGUCAAUUUGAUUUCAUAUGUGACAAAUAUCAUUUUCUAUGAAGGAAUAAACCUUAUUGUUUGGCAAAAACUGAGACUUGUACUAGUUCAUAUGUUAGCAGAGUAAGAGUUAUAUGCAGAAAAAGGCCACUAGAAUUCACUAUGUGGAAGCAAAAUUUUGAAUUCAAGAAUUGGAGAUAUGCACGCAUGUGUGCAUAAACGCGCACAUAUUUCGAUUUCAUUGUGUUCAAAGAUUACACAAACAAAUCCUGUAUCAAUUCUAGCUUAUAAACACAAGGAAUGAACAAUCAGCAUGCUCUAUUUCCUUGAUUUAUAAGAACAGUUCCAUCACCAAGGAUAGCAAGAUCAAAUCAGCAUAAAAAAAAAUGCUUACUCAAUUACGAAAUCAUUCCCUUCUCGCAACUAACCAAAACAAACUUACAUUAUAUAUUUGUCCAAUCAAAGAAGGCAUCGAAGCUUGAAAUGCCAACAAGAAGAAUUAGCUCCUAAAAGCCCAAAAAAAAGGGGAAAAAAAAGGGGAAAAAAAAAAGUCAUAGAGCCAGACCCCAUCAAAAGCCAAUUGACAACACCAUUCAGUUCAAAAACUACACAACACGACUAAUCUAUCAAACCCAGAUUCGUGAAAAACAUGCCUUUGGUUAAAAAAUUCAAUUUUUACAUGUGAAUUCACAAAACAAGAAGCAACCCAGAUCACAUACAAUGCCAAACCAUGCAAAACUUGAAGAAUUACAGCUCAAAUUGAAAAGAAACAAGGUCUCAAGGGGAAACCAAAAUUGAAAAAGAGCAGUCCACUCCUAAUUAUAAAGGAGCAAAAAAAGGUGAAACCUUUUCAACUAAAUACGGCAGGGAAAUUCACAAGGAUAUAGACCCAAAUCAAGAAAAUAGACCAAAUGAGAAAUUAUGACAACUGAAAAGAGGGGAGUAUUGACUGAGACUUACCCAGAAGAGAAGAGAGGAAAUUUCUUGCCUUUUUUUUUUUUAAGAUUUGUGCGUGUGCACAGAAAAGAAUGGCAACAUUUGCCGCGCUUAAAAGGGAAUAAUGAGGAAAAAAAUAUAGAGUUUU
rnacentral:misc_RNA from 1 species